ACAACAUUUGGACCGUCGGUCUACCGAGCAAUACCCGCUCGGUGGAAGAUGAUCCCUUUGUCGU
rnacentral:pre_miRNA from 1 species